rnacentral:rRNA from 1 species
GAUGAACGCUGACAGAAUGCUUAACACAUGCAAGUCGACUGGAAUUCACCUUCGGGUGAUAGUACGGUGGCGGACGGGUGAGUAACGCGUAAAGAACUUGCCCUCUAGACUGGGACAACUGUUGGAAACGACAGCUAAUACCGGAUAUUAUGAGAACCUCGCAUGGGGAACUUAUGAAAGCUAUAUGCGCUGGAGGAGAACUUUGCGUUCCAUUAGCUAGUUGGUAGGGUAAUGGCCUACCAAGGCGACGAUGGAUAGCCGGCCUGAGAGGGUGAACGGCCACAAGGGGACUGAGACACGGUCCAG